rnacentral:lncRNA from 1 species
GUUGCAACCAGCCCUCUCACUCUGGUUCCAGCCUUCUGCCAUGAGCUGAGGUUUUGGUUUCUGUGAGAAGCUGAGUUGAAGAGUGUGUCUUCAAGACAAGAAGUGGUUUGUCAAUCAAGUCUCUGACAGCUUUGACCUCAGAUUUGCCCCACACUGUGAUUCUUCCAUUUGCCCUACAGAACAGUCGAAUCUACAUGUCUGGUCAGGGUACACUGGACUGCUAUCACUGACAACCUCUCCCCUACCUCCACAAGACAUAGAAAUGACCCUGGAAGCCCCAUAGACGCUGUUGUCACUAGACAUUGGAUGCCGCUGCCACUGUCACUUCUGCCAAAAUGAGCUAUUUCUAGACCUUGCUUCUCCAGUCUAGAGUUAUUAGUGGUCUAGAUCACAUGGCAUGCCCUUAUUGACAAGAAUAUGGAAACUGAGUCACUGGCCUUGCACUUUAGUGAUGGAA